AUGCACGAAAAGGACAGUCACGAUCACUAUCGUUACGACACGUACGCACCGCUGAUGAAGACCGCCACCAUGAAGGGCGUCAAAGCGGUCCACUGCACCAGUGAAACGAGCACCGUGCUCAAGGGUGGUACACACACCACAAUGACCAAGCACAGCACCACGAUCCACAGCAAGGACGGUACGGCCAAAUCGCGCUGCUGUUCCUGCUGCUCCAGCCGGGGUGGGUCCACCUUCUGGGCUGCGCUACUAACCAACAUUGGCGUCUGCACGCUACUGCUGGCGUACACUUUACUAGGUUCGUUUAUUUUCCUUGCAAUCGAAGGUGGUGCAUCGCAGAUGCACCAGCGUACCCUAGCGUCGACUAACCGGCACCAGAAACAGAUCCCGCCCACCAAUAACAACCACCACAGCCGGCACGAUACGGCCAAUCUUACCUUUCCGCAGCUAAUUCUGCUAGAAGCGGUCGAGGCACGGCAAAAGACGGUCGAAAACAUUUGGGACAUUACCGUAUCGCUGAACAUUCUGUACCGGGAAAAUUGGACACGGCUGGCCUCGAUGGAGAUUGCACGCUUUCAGGAGCAGUUUGUAAACCGGCUGCUGGAGGAGAUGACUCAGAUCAGUAGCAUGCAGCACGCGGUCACGAGCGGCGGUGCGCACGACCCUGGACUCGGAUCGGAUAAUAAUUGGACGUUUGCCCGUGCAUUCCUGUAUUCGCUGACCAUUUUAACGACGAUUGGUUAUGGAAGUGUAGCACCACGGACCGUUCUUGGACGGAUGAUAACUUUGGCCUACGCCGUGCUGGGGAUACCUCUUACGCUCGUCUACCUUUCCAGUACCGGUGGAAUGUUGGCGAAAGUGGCCCGUGGAGUGUUUUCUAGAGUUCUGUGCUGUUGUCUGUGCUCCAACUGUGGCUAUUGUUGCUACGACGAAAAGCGCAUGGAGGAGAAGGAAAAGCGUAUGAAGCGAAAGCGGCAGCAGAUGGAAAUGCAGCAGCAACAGCAACAGCAUCUCGCCUUAUCCGGCCAGGAACCGUACUACGUACGCUCGGGCUCACUACAAAACAGUGUCAACUCGCCGGAGAAACAGCUUACCAUGUUAGGGCCGGCGGCGACCACACCGGACCUCGACUCGACCGCCGGCAGCAGUGACAGUGAGUCGCGUGCCUCGAUGCACGGUCUGAGCAUACUGGCACCGAUACUGCUGUGCGUGGCGAUGAUGUCGAUCUACAUCGUGGUCGGUGCGCUUACACUGUUCCGGUUAGAAUCGUUGCCCCUGUCGGACGGUGUGUACUUUUGCUUUAUGGCACUGUCCACGAUAGGGUUCGGAGCGCUAGCACCGGGAACGCGGCGGGAGUCAACGGCUACCACCUGGUUCUGCUCGGGGUACAUUAUGGCGGGGAUGGCACUGACCGCUAUGUGCUUCAACGUGCUGCACGACGAAAUACUGCACCGGUUGCGGCACAUGGUGGAGAUGCAGAAGGAGAUCAAGAAUCACAACGAACAUCGGCGGUUUCUGGCCUCAUGACGGUACGAGAAGAAUACCAACCUGUACCAACGGAAUCCCACCGAGGAAACGUUAAUUACUGGUACACCAACGUCAGUGAUCUUUGCACAGGAACCGGACCUAGGACAGUUGCAUCUGCAGCAUGAUUGUCACUCGGUCCACCAUACAGUUGGCCACGAGCUGAUACCAAUCGUAACGAUGGCUCCGAAUGGUCCCAGUCCGGGCAUGUCAUCGGAGCUGCUGGAACGAGGCCCAUCGCUCUCGGACAUUGGUCCCGGUGGACAGACGAUGAUGCACCCGACGGGUGAACCAGCUGCACCGCACGGAAUUGCAAUCACAAGCAGUGGUGGGAUCGGUGGCAUGAUGUCGUCGAAUCUGAAUACGGGCGUGUACACGCUGCCGGAAGAAUCGGAACACGAGUCGGAGGAGUGUCCGGCAAUGUA